UGGGAUGUAGUCUAAAGGCAGGACAGUGGAUUCUGGUUCCACCGGUGAAGGUUCGAUUCCUUCCAUCCCAG
rnacentral:tRNA from 1 species